CUAUGGGAAGUCCCACACAGCAGUCUCCUUCCUUCGGGUUAGGCAAUAAUCAUCCGGGGAACUGUCCACUCGCCGUAGCCGGAUACACAAACACACACACGGUUCCUGCAUCCCGUUGCUAACUUACAGCUAGCUUAUGCUAACGUCUGUACUGUUGCUACUUUGGCUGUUCGGGGGCGAAUAAACAAACGACCCCGCGGUCACAUUCACCGGAAUGAUGCUAGGAGAAAAGUAGGCAUCGUUGUGAGAAGGAAUAUGGCGUUUGGUAUCGGUUUUGUUUGUGUUUCUGCAAAUAGACGGUUGCAGGUGGACUGGUGUUUACAUGGUCCGUGGGAGCUGGAAGUCCGCAGCUGUGUGGCGGCUGCAGUGCUUUUAUUAGUCUCCUAGCUGCAGACCUGCAGCCUCAAUGGAUGUCAUCUGGGAAGAAGAAGAGGAGCCUUGUAGAGACCAGCUGAAGGAACAUCUUCUCUGAGCUGAAGCUCUGAGAUGAGUGCAGAGUUUCCGGACCACAACGGAGAAGUUCCUUCACUCCAUUCAUGCCUUCUUCUUUUCGUACUCACUGUAUACUCAUAGUAUUGUAUGUCAUGAAAUAAUUUA